rnacentral:rRNA from 1 species
AGCAGCCGCGGUAAUUCCAGCUCCAAUAGCGUAUAUUAAAGUUGUUGCAGUUAAAAAGCUCGUAGUUGAAUUUCGGGGUCAGUAGUUUGGUCGUGCCACUGGUAUGUACUGGGCUCACUGAUUCCUCCUUCCUGAUGAGCCUUAAUGCCAUUAAUUUGGUGUUUUGGGGAAUUUGGACUGUUACUUUGAAAAAAUUAGAGUGUUUAAAGCAGGCUCACGCUUGAAUACAUUAGCAUGGAAUAAUGAAAUAGGACGUUUGAUUCUAUUUUGUUGGUUUCUAGGAUCGACGUAAUGAUUAAUAGGGAUAGUUGGGGGCAUUAGUAUUCAAUUGUCAGAGGUGAAAUUCUUGGAUUUAUUGAAGACUAACUACUGCGAAAGCAUUUGCCAAGGAUGUUUUCAUUAAUCAAGAACGAAAGUUAGGGGAUCGAAGACGAUUACAGAUACCGUCGUAGUACUAACCAAUAAACUAUCGCCGACGUAGGGAGUCGGAUGAUUAGUUUUAAAUUUUUAAUGUACUCUA